rnacentral:rRNA from 1 species
CCUACGGGAGGCAGCAGUGGGGAAUAUUGGACAAUGGGCGAAAGCCUGAUCCAGCAAUUCCGCGUGUGUGAAGAAGGCCUUCGGGUUGUAAAGCACUUUAGUGGGGGAAGAAACAGCUUGGCCACACCAAGCCUUGACGGUACCCCAAGAAUAAGCACCGGCUAACUCUGUGCCAGCAGCCGCGGUAAUACAGAGGGUGCAAGCGUUAAUCGGAUUUACUGGGCGUAAAGGGUGCGUAGGUGGUUUUUUAAGUCGGAUGUGAAAGCCUGGGGCUCAACCUCAGAAUUGCACUCGAUACUGGGAAACUAGAGUUCGGUAGAGGGCGGCGGAAUUUCCGGUGUAGCGGUGAAAUGCGUAGAUAUCGGAAGGAACAUCAAUGGCGAAGGCAGCCGCCUGGGCCUGGACUGACACUGAGGCACGAAAGCGUGGGUAGCAAACAGGAUUAGAUACCCUAGUAGUCCACGCCGUAAACGAUGAGAACUUGACGUUGGUUCGUUUUACGAAUCGGUGUCGCAGCUAACGCGAUAAGUUCUCCGCCUGGGGAGUACGGCCGCAAGGUUGAAACUCAAAGGAAUUGACGG